rnacentral:rRNA from 1 species
GAUAAACGCUGGCGGCGUGCCUAAUACAUGCAAGUCGAGCGAACGGACGAGAAGCUUGCUUCUCUGAUGUUAGCGGCGGACGGGUGAGUAACACGUGGAUAACCUACCUAUAAGACUGGGAUAACCUCGGGAAACCGGAGCUAAUACCGGAUAAUAUUUUGAACCGCAUGGUUCAAAAGUGAAAGACGGUCUUGCUGUCACUUAUAGAUGGAUCCGCGCUGCAUUAGCUAGUUGGUAAGGUAACGGCUUACCAAGGCAACGAUGCAUAGCCGACCUGAGAGGGUGAUCGGCCACACUGGAACUGAGACACGGUCCAGACUCCUACGGGAGGCAGCGGUAGGGAAUCUUCCGCAAUGGGCGAAAGCCUGACGGAGCAACGCCGCGUGAGUGAUGAAGGUCUUCGGAUCGUAAAACUCUGUUAUUAGGGAAGAACAUAUGUGUAAGUAACUGUGCACAUCUUGACGGUACCUAAUCAGAAAGCCACGGCUAACUACGCGCCAGCAGCCGCGGUAAUACGUAGGUGGCAAGCGUUAUCCGGAAUUAUUGGGCGUAAAGCGCGCGUAGGCGGUUUUUUAAGUCUGAUGUGAAAGCCCACGGCUCAACCGUGGAGGGUCAUUGGAAACUGGAAAACUUGAGUGCAGAAGAGGAAAGUGGAAUUCCAUGUGUAGCGGUGAAAUGCGCAGAGAUAUGGAGGAACACCAGUGGCGAAGGCGACUUUCUGGUCUGUAACUGACGCUGAUGUGCGAAAGCGUGGGGAUCAAACAGGAUUAGAUACCCUGGUAGUCCACGCCGUAAACGAUGAGUGCUAAGUGUUAGGGGGUUUCCGCCCCUUAGUGCUGCAGCUAACGCAUUAAGCACUCCGCCUGGGGAGUACGACCGCAAGGUUGAAACUCAAAGGAAUUGACGGGGACCCGCACAAGCGGUGGAGCAUGUGGUUUAAUUCGAAGCAACGCGAAGAACCUUACCAAAUCUUGACAUCCUUUGACAACUCUAGAGAUAGAGCCUUCCCCUUCGGGGGACAAAGUGACAGGUGGUGCAUGGUUGUCGUCAGCUCGUGUCGUGAGAUGUUGGGUUAAGUCCCGCAACGAGCGCAACCCUUAAGCUUAGUUGCCAUCAUUAAGUUGGGCACUCUAAGUUGACUGCCGGUGACAAACCGGAGGAAGGUGGGGAUGACGUCAAAUCAUCAUGCCCCUUAUGAUUUGGGCUACACACGUGCUACAAUGGACAAUACAAAGGGCAGCGAAACCGCGAGGUCAAGCAAAUCCCAUAAAGUUGUUCUCAGUUCGGAUUGUAGUCUGCAACUCGACUACAUGAAGCUGGAAUCACUAGUAAUCGUAGAUCAGCAUGCUACGGUGAAUACGUUCCCGGGUCU